CACACCAAGGAGAUUAUCAAAUUCUGUAGGAGCCGAAGUAAACUGGAACGACGGCCGGACAUGCAACUCAACUCCCGACAAAGACACACCAUCAAUGUACAACUUGACGUCCAAUGCAGUCUUGCCGACCAACUUCUCACGUGAAUCAAAGAGUUUGGAGGAGCAUUAUGGCGUACAAGAAGUUGAGUGACUUAAGAACAAGGGGGGAAACUGGAACGUACAAGUGAAAGUAAUGAUUAUGUGGGAAUCGAUCAAUCCUACAACCGAUGAACUAAUCAGCCUAGAUAUGAUUUUCAUGGAUGAAGAGGGCCAAACAAUUCAUGCUUUUACCUGGAAAAACCUAAUAGACACUUUUAGAUCAAAAAUUAAAGAGCAGUCUAUUUACGCUUUCAACAAUUUGAAGGUUGUGGAAUCUACAAAGUGUCGUCCAAC